rnacentral:rRNA from 1 species
GACGAACGCUGGCGGCGUGCUUAACACAUGCAAGUCGAACGAUGAACCGGUUUCGGCCGGGGAUUAGUGGUGAACGGGUGAGUAACACGUGGGCAAUCUGCCCUGCACUCUGGGAUAAGCCCGGGAAACUGGGUCUAAUACCGGAUACGACACUCCGAGGCAUCUUGGGGUGUGGAAAGUUCCGGCGGUGCAGGAUGAGCCCGCGGCCUAUCAGCUUGUUGGUGGGGUAAUGGCCUACCAAGGCGACGACGGGUAGCCGGCCUGAGAGGGUGACCGGCCACACUGGGACUGAGACACGGCCCAGACUCCUACGGGAGGCAGCAGUGGGGAAUAUUGCACAAUGGGCGAAAGCCUGAUGCAGCGACGCCGCGUGAGGGAUGACGGCCUUCGGGUUGUAAACCUCUUUCAGCAGGGAAGAAGCGAAAGUGACGGUACCUGCAGAAGAAGCACCGGCUAACUACGUG